rnacentral:rRNA from 1 species
UCAAGUUAUUAAGGGUGCAGGGCGGAUGCCUUGGCACUAGGAGCCGAUGAAGGACGUGAUAAGCUGCGAUAAGCUUCGGGGAGUUGCACGUAAACUUUGAUCCGAAGAUUUCCGAAUGAGGAAACUCACUUAGAGUAAUGUCUAAGUAUCAUUAAGUGAAUACAUAGCUUAAUGAGGGGAACUCAGGGAACUGAAACAUCUAAGUACCUGAAGGAAGAGAAAGAAAUUCGAUUCCGUAAGUAGCGGCGAGCGAACGCGGAUUAGCCCAAACCAAUAAAGUUUUCUUUAUUGGGGUUGCGGACAUAUCAUAACGAAGAGGUAUCGUAAUUGAAGAGGUUUGGAAAGACCCACCACAGAAGGUAAUAGUCCUGUAUGUUAAACGAGAAGACUUCAGAUAUGAUCCAGAGUACCACGGGACACGUGAAACCCUGUGGGAAGCAGGAGGGACCACCCUCCAAGGCUAAAUACUACCUAGUGACCGAUAGCGUAUAGUACCGUGAGGGAAAGGUGAAAAGAACCCCGGGAGGGGAGUGAAAUAGAACCUGAAACCCUGCACUUACAAGCUGUGGAAGCACAUUUCUUGUGUGACCGCGUACUUUUUGUAGAACGGGCCAACGAGUUACGUUAAGUAGCAAGGUUAAGCACUUAAGGUGCGGAGCCGUAGCGAAAGCGAGUUUUAACUGAGCGUUCAGUUACUUGACGUAGACCCGAAACCGGGCGACCUACCCAUGAGCAGGAUGAAGCGAAAGUAAAAUUUCGUGGAGGUCCGAACCCACGAGCGUUGAAAAGCUCGGGGAUGACUUGUGGGUAGCGGUGAAAUUCCAAUCGAGCCCGGAGAUAGCUGGUUCUCCCCGAAAUAGCUUUAGGGCUAGCCUCAAGGUGAGAGAUACGGAGGUAGAGCACUGAAUGUCCUAGGGGGUAUUGCACCUACCGAAGACUAUCAAACUCCGAAUGCCGUCAUCUUAUACUUGGGAGUCAGACUGUGGGUGAUAAGAUUCAUAGUCGAAAGGGCAACAGCCCAGAUCGUCAGCUAAGGUCCCUAAAUGUAAGUUAAGUGGUAAAGGAUGUGGGAUUGCACAGACAACCAGGAUGUUGGCUUAGAAGCAGCCACUCAUUCAAAGAGUGCGUAAUAGCUCACUGGUCGAGUGAUCCUGCGCCGAAGAUUUCCGGGGCUAAAACUUACUACCGAAGCUACGGCAUCAGUAAUGAUGGGUAGGGGAGCUUCCCAUACGGGUUGAAGCAUGACCGUAAGGACAUGUGGACAGUAUGGGAGUGAGAAUGUUGGCAUGAGUAGCGAGAUGUGGGUGAGAAUCCCACAGGCCGUAAACCCAAGGUUUCCAGGGGAAGGUUCGUCCGCCCUGGGUUAGUCGGGACCUAAGCUGAGGCCGAAAGGCGUAGGUGAUGGACAACAGGUUGAUAUUCCUGUACUACCGAUAACCGUUUGAGAGAAGGGAUGACACAGUAGGAUAAGCUAAGCACACUGUUGGUUAUGUGUGCCCAAGCAUUGAGGCAGUCAAAGUAGGUAAAUCCGCUUUGAUAAUGCUGGGAUGUGAUGGGGAGCGAAAUUUAGUAGCGAAGUAGCUGAUUUCACACUGUCAAGAAAAGUCUCUAUCGAGGUUAAAGGUACCCGUACCGCAAACCGACACAGGUGGGUGAGGAGAGUAUCCUAAGGCCAGCGAGAGAACUGUUGUUAAGGAACUCGGCAAAAUGACCCCGUAACUUAGGGAUAAGGGGUGCCACCAUCAGGUGGCCGCAGAGAAUAGGCCCAAGCGACUGUUUACCAAAAACAUAGGUUUCUGCUAAGUCGCAAGACGAUGUAUAGGAGCUGACGCCUGCCCGGUGCUGGAAGGUUAAGGGGAUCUGUUAGAGCAAUCGAAGCAGUGAACUUAAGCCCCAGUAAACGGCGGCCGUAACUAUAACGGUCCUAAGGUAGCGAAAUUCCUUGUCGGGUAAGUUCCGACCCGCACGAAAGGCGUAACGAUUUGGGCACUGUCUCAACAACAGACUCGGUGAAAUUGUAAUUCCGGUGAAGAUGCCGGAUACCUGCGACAGGACGGAAAGACCCCAUGGAGCUUUACUGUAGCUUGACAUUGGGUCUUGGUACUACAUGUACAGGAUAGGUGGGAGGCUUUGAAACCAGGACGCCAGUUUUGGCGGAGCCAUCCUUGGGAUACCACCCUUGUAGUACUGGGACUCUAACCAUAGGCCAUGAAUCUGGUCUUGGGACACUGUCAGGUGGGCAGUUUGACUGGGGCGGUCGCCUCCCAAAAGGUAACGGAGGCGCUCAAAGGUUCUCUCAGUACGGUCGGAAAUCGUACGUAGAGUGUAAAGGCAAAAGAGAGCUUGAUUGCAAGACAUACAGGUCGAGCAAGGAUGAAAAUCGGACUUAGUGAUCCGGUGGUUCUGCGUGGAAGGGCCAUCGCUCAACGGAUAAAAGCUACCCUGGGGAUAACAGGCUUAUCUCCCCCAAGAGUCCACAUCGACGGGGAGGUUUGGCACCUCGAUGUCGGCUCAUCACAUCCUGGGGCUGUAGUAGGUCCCAAGGGUUGGGCUGUUCGCCCAUUAAAGUGGUACGCGAGCUGGGUUCAGAACGUCGUGAGACAGUUCGGUCCCUAUCCGUCGCAGGCGUAGGAAAUUUGAGAAGACCUGUCCUUAGUACGAGAGGACCGGGAUGGACGUACCUCUGGUGUACCAGUUGUCCUGCCAAGGGCAUGGCUGGGUAGCUAUGUACGGAAUGGAUAAGCGCUGAAAGCAUCUAAGCGCGAAGCCAACUUCAAGAUAAGAUUUCCCACCGCAAGGGUAAGACCCCAGAAAGACUAUCUGGUUGAUAGGUCGAAGGUGUAAGUGCAGCAAUGUAUUUAGCUUAUCGAUACUAAUAGGUCGAGGACUUGACCAA